GGGGAUUUAGCUCAGUGGUAGAGCGCUUGCCUAGCAAACGCAAGGCCCUGGGUUCCAUCCCCAGCUCCG
rfam:Rattus norvegicus chromosome 14, whole genome shotgun sequence.